rnacentral:rRNA from 1 species
GUCUACGGCCAUGCCACCCUGAACGUGCCCAAUCCCGUCUGAUCUCAGAAGCUGAGCAGGGCCGGGCCUGGUUAGUACUUGGGUGGGAGACCACCUAGGAAGACCAGGUGCUGCAGGCG